GAUGAACGCUGGCGGCGUGCCUAAUACAUGCAAGUCGAGCGAACAGAUGAGGAGUUUGUUCCUCUGACGUUAGCGGCGGACGGGAGAGUAACACGUGGAUAAUCCACCUAUAAGACUGGGAAAAAUUCGGGAAACCGGAUCUAAUACCGGAAAAUAUAUUGAACCGCAUGGUUCAAUAGUGAAAGACGGUUGUGCUGUCACCUAUAGAUGGAUCCGCGCAGCAUUAGCUAGUUGGUAAGGUAACGGCUUACCAAGGCAACAAUGCGUAGCCGACCUGAGGGGGUGUUCGGCCACACUGGAACGGGAACAGGGCCCAGACUCCUACGGGAGGCCGCAGUAGGGAAUCUUCGGCAAUGGGCGAAAGCCUGACGGAGCAACGCCGCGGGAGUGAUGAAGGUCUUCGGAUCGUAAAACUCUGUUAUUAGGGAGAAACAAAUGUGUAAGUAACUGUGCACGUCUUGACGGUACCUAAUCAGAAAGCCACGGCUAACUACGUG
rnacentral:rRNA from 1 species